GCCUGGGUGGCUCAGUCGGUUGAGCGUCCGACUUCGGCUCAGGUCAUGAUGCCACAUCUUGUGGGUUUGAGCCUCACACUGGGCU
rnacentral:tRNA from 1 species